GUUCCAGCCCCACAGUGCGUAUCUAAGUUCCAGCCUCCAUCCCACAGCCCGUGUGUAUCCCCCCCGCCCCUGCCUGCCCCGCAGCCCCCAGCACGUCAAGGCCUGAGCUCAGCAGAGGAAGGACGGCACGGCACAUUCCUGGCACCCUCCCGGCACGCUCUGGCAUCGCUCAGCCAGGCAGCUGCCCGUGCUCAGUGUGUGCCUUGGAAGGUGUGCCAUCGGAGCUGGCCCCUUGCACCCAUCACUCCUCCUCCCCUCGCCUUUCACAGAGGAUGGGGCUCUCAGCCGCCAGCCCCGUCCACCCUGGCCCCAUCCCGCUGCCCGUGGCUCUCGGCCCCCUCUCAGUGAAGCAUCCCUCCCUCCCAGGCCACAGCACCACACUGCCCCGGGCAGGGUCUGUCCCACGGGCUCUUGUGUCAGUGCAAACAGCACAGCCCGUCCCUGCUGCCCCCACGGUGACCACGGCCACUGGGACAGAGCUAUGGGGAGGGAGAGGGGGGUCCCGGGGCACUGCUCCCCCACUGCCCCCCAGCCUGCCACCAUCAGACCUGCUGCAGCUAAUAAAGCUCUUUAAAGGAAGCCUCUGUGGAUCUGUUGUUCUGUCUGUGGCACGGCAAGGGGGCAUGGUUUUGGGAAAAAAGGGGCAGAGCUGGGGCUGCUGCACUGGUGCCACUGGGGAUGGGGAUGAGCCUGGGCAUCAACAUCAUCACCUGCAGCUGAGCUGAGGGCUCAGAGCUUUAAAAUGCUGCAGCUUGGGGAGCCCCUGCCCAGCCUGGGAGCCUUGAGGGCUGCCAGGUGAAAUCCUGACACUCACCUGAGCAUCCAGACCAGAUUUCCAGCCUGGUGGGAGGAUGGCAAGCCUUGGCAUGGGCAGGCUGGGUCCUUGGAGUCCCCACCAUAGCACAGCUGAGCAGAGCGAGGCUGGAUGCAGCAUCUGCACCUAAUGGAUGAGUUUUGUCAAGUGCUACAACAACCCAGAAAACUGCACCAGCCCCAAGGGCGCUUGGAAACCAAAGACAGUAUUUCACCUCCCUGCCUGCCCUGUCAGAGCGGCUCUGAAGGCUCCUUUGUAUAGAACCCAACCAGCGUUAAGCAUUGAACAGAUAUUAAAAAAGAGUAAAGCUGACCUGCAGCCCUGUCCUACUGGAUAAAAAGCCACUGACUUGUGUUUUCCCUGAAGAAGCAAACAGGAGGAAAGCCUGAAUUAAAUCAGGGAGAGAAGGGGAAGUAACUUCAGCUGAGGGAUGUGGCAGCAGAGACAGUGCCCUUGGGCCCACCAGCAGAGACAUGUUUUGGAUGUUCACCCAGGAUCCCAACAGUGAUGCACAAAGCCUGUUCCAUGUAACAAUCUAUUUAUUACUUUGGUUUUUGUAUUUCUGAGCUUGCUUCCAAAUUUAGUCAAGAUCUGCCCUUUUGCUUCACUUGCAUAGAUCUUCCCCGAGUGUCAGGAGGCAGCCUGCUGCCAGGAGCUGCUCUGGGGAAGCUGAGGGAUCUGGGAGCAGCUGAGCAAAGCAGUGCCUCUGGACAAUCUCUGCAGCAAGAGCCUGGGGAUGUGGGAGCUGGAGACCAGGGGAGAAGCCUCUCAGCAGAGAGAGUGAGCUGACCCCAAAGUUGAGUCAUCCUCUGCCCACUGUACCACCUUGCACCUCCUUUGACAAACCAUGGCACUGCUGGGGUGCUCACAGGCCCUGGCACUGCCUGACCAGACAGAUACAGAGGCUGUUCUGGGGCACAGGCAGGUCCUUCAUCUUGGGGUGAU